AAGCACAAACAAGCUGAAGGUAGAUAAGUUUCACAAGAACUCAAUGAAGAAGUUUCUCCAAGUAGGGGUAGAGUGAGGCUCUCAGCGAUUAGCAGGCAGUGUCCUGACCAGAGCUGAGGGGCUGGAUAAGAGCCAGAGGUUGAAAGAAAGCCCUAAUACUAGGAGCAGAUCGGACACAGUUGGGGCAAGAAGGAGUGCUCCCCGCCCAAGCCAAGCAUGGUAGCACAUACCUGUAGUCAUAGAACUUAGAAGAUAGACACAAGAAGAUAUAGAAUUUGAGGUCCUCAUGAACUACCUAGUAAGUUCUAGGCAAGUCUGGCCAAAAAAAAAAAAGUGUCCCAGCCUCUCAGCUUGCCCUGUGAUGCCCUGACACUGUCUCCACUUGGACAAACUCAACAUUAAGGCAAGGGUAUGUGGUCCACAGGGACCAGCAUCCACAUGGAGAUCAGGGUCAAGCAUGGCCCUGGAGGAGAAGAGCAUCAUGCUCUCCCAGGUCACUCCAGCAUCACAGUGCAAAGAAGCAGACCACUGAGGAAGACAACAGGAUUCAGCCUCAGUCUAGUGGCCACAUUUUACCUUGGAUCUCACAUUCCAGUAUGUCAGAGAGCCAGAGGGACCUGAAGCAACCACACUGCUCUUAUCAACUUUGUCCAGCCUACCAAAAGUGGCCCAUGAAGCUUCCACUAUUUGCCCCUUGGAAUCAGGACAUUGAAUGAACUGAUAUUGGUUGAGCACCUAUGAUAUACCCAGUACCUAUCUACAGCACACCCAAUGUAGCUUGACAGUUAAAUAUACUUGCUUGGAGAUUAAAAGUGAGGUUCAAUGGUAGAUCACUUGCAUGGCAGGUACAAAACCCGGACUCCAUCCUAAACCUAGAAAAUGAAAAAAAAAAUUUUUUUUCAACUCAGUUUGGAAGCAGGUCAAUGGGGAGGGCUCAGCACAGAGACAUUUCCAUCAACUCCCAGGGAAGGUAUGGCAGAUGGAAAAAAAGGGAUCACCAGAGGUUAAGGGGUUUCCCAGGGACUCUCCUAGUGAUGACUUUUGAACCCAACCUAAAGUCAGUAACAGCCCACUGCACACCGUAGGGCACCUUUCCCAUCAGAAGCCGCCAUUGUUUUGAAGAGGCAUAGACAAACACAUCCUAUAGUCUUAUAUUUCUGGUGAUUAUUGCUUUCUUUAUCGUGGACAGAUGUGCCUGGGUAUGGGCCUGGUGGCCUCCUUGGCUGGCAGUUACAGGAAUCAUUCAGAAAGAAGGAAGAUGGCAGAAACCGGAAGUGCAAUAUCGACACAAGGGGACCGGGCUGAAUUCAUCUUGUCCUUUUAUUAAAACUUACAGUGGCAGGGACUUGAGUGGUGGCCUCAGGAACCCCAACACUUUCCAUAAGAGAGCUACCCCCUCAUAUCCUGGCCUCCAGAGCUGAAAGAUGACCCUGUCUCACCUACAAGACCUUGGGACAUUGUCUCUACGCUCAGAAAUCUGGGCUCUGGGAAGUCAAUGCUGAGAUGUUAGAAAUGAACUUUGAUGCAAACUAGACUGGUCUUUGAUUCCUGAAGAGAACCUUUCCUAUGUGACAGUGAGAACUCAAUCUUCCAGGUCUCAGUUUCCACAUCUGUGAACUCCUGACAUCGGGUGCACCAAGGUCAUGUGUUUGAGCGGGAAAGGGAUCCAAAGCUGUGGUCUCCUGCCAGCCAGGGCUAGGGAUAGCUGAGCACACCGAGUUCUUUAGACAGACUCAAGGCUGGCUCCUGUCUGUGGCCUCGGAGCUCCGGCGCCCUCUGGCCAGGGUUUCCUGUCAUCUUCCUUUCCUCCUUCAGAAGAGGAAGCAGCUUCCUCUGGAGACCUUUGUCCUGAGCCCAGCCCUGGAACGCUGACGGCCAUUCACUUCGUGCUGAGUGUGUUGAACCACUUUCUGGGUUUAAGAAAAUAUAUUAUUGUUUACCUAACAGUU
rnacentral:lncRNA from 1 species